rnacentral:misc_RNA from 1 species
UUUCCGUAGGUGAACCUGCGGAAGGAUCAUUACUGAGUGAGGGCCUCCGGGCUCGACCUCCCACCCUUCUGUCGUCCGACCGCGUUGCUUCGGGGCCGCCUGCGGGCGCCCCGGAGGACCGUCAACUCUGCAUCACUGCGUCUGAGUAUAUUUUCAAUAACAUGAAAACUUUCAACAACGGAUCUCUUGGUUCUGGCAUCGAUGAAGAACGCAGC